GAUGAAGAACGCAGCGAAAUGCGAUAAGUAAUGUGAAUUGCAGAAUUCAGUGAAUCAUCGAGUCUUUGAACGCACAUUGCGCCCCCUGGUAUUCCGGGGGGCAUGCCUGUCCGAGCGUCAUUUCAACCCUCAAGCACAGCUUGGUCUUGGGCUUCGCCGCUAACCCGGCGGGUCUUAAAAUCAGUGGCGGUGCCGUCGGGCCCUGAGCGCAGUAAUCUCUCUCGCUAUAGGGUCCCGGCGGAUGCUGGCCAGUAACCCCCAAUUUUCUAUGGUUGACCUCGGAUCAGGUAGGGAUACCCGCUGAACUUAAGCAUAUCAAUAAGCGGAGGA
rnacentral:misc_RNA from 1 species